CCGAACCGUCGACACGAGUUGUUGCUGGCCCUCGAGAGGGGGCACGUGCACGCUCUGUUUACGCAUCCACUCACACCUGUGCACCCUCUGUAGUUCUGUGGCCUUGGGGGCUCCGUCCUCUUGCCGCGGUCCUACGUCUUUACACGCACGCCGUAACAAAGUCUCAUGGAAUGCAUGUCGCGUUUAACGCAAUACAAUA
rnacentral:misc_RNA from 1 species